AAUGGAGGAAACUCUGAUGCAGCGACGCCGCGUGAGGGAAGAAGGUAUUCGUAUUGUAAACCUCUGUCUUCGUGGACGAUAAUGACGGUACACGAGGAGGAAGCACCGGCUAACUACGUGCCAGCAGCCGCGGUAAAACGUAGGGUGCUAGCGUUGUCCGGAAUUACUGGGUGUAAAGGGAGCGCAGGCGGCUGUGCAAGUUGGGCGUUUAAUCUACGGGCUUAACCCGUAUCAGCGUUCAAAACUGUACAGCUUGAGUGAAGUAGAGGUAGGCGGAAUUUCCGGUGUAGCGGUGGAAUGCGUAGAUAUCGGAAGGAACACCAGUGGCGAAGGCGGCCUACUGGGCUUUAACUGACGCUGAGGCUCGAAAGCAUGGGUAGCAAA
rnacentral:rRNA from 1 species